rnacentral:sRNA from 1 species
AGUCGGCGAGUCUUCUCCGACAACUGGAGGCCGCACCUGUCAUCGAUCACUUCUUCCCGAUUCCAGGGACAAUAAACGUCUGCUUCUGCAGCUUCUAUGGAAAAAACAACUAACAAAAUUAUUGUCAGGCAUCGCAGGCGUUCCUUUAAUACGGUUACCAGUGAUUCCGGCGGUGUGAUUUAUUUUUAUUAUUUGACAAAUGCUUCUUCCAGAAACGAUGUGUAUAUCUUGUUCCCUUGUCGGCAUUGAUUGCCAGUCUCCGUUGAAAUUUAAUCGACAGUUGUGACAAACCCGAGUGGAAACGGUAGCUUGUUGACCUAUAGCAGUUAUGGCGUACACAUCUCUAAAACAGUGGAAUAGUUCCUUGUCUAAACAAUAUAUCGCCAGUACUAUUCUCCAGUGUUGCUAUGUGGUGUUCGGACUUUUUGGAAAUAUUUUGGUCAUUUUGAUGUACAGAUUUAAAAUGAGGGGACAAAAAGAGGACCGCUUUUUUAUACCAGUGCUCGCCGUCGUGGACUUAACCGGGUGUCUGACCUCAGCCUCGCUUUCGCUCGCGCAGAACCUAUUUCCGGUUAUGUUUCCCAGCGGCGUGUUGUGUAAGCUUUUAUUUUUUAGCACUUCCGUCACGAUAAUCAGCUCGCUCCUUCUUCUUUUCGUGAUCUCUAUCCAGCGUUACCAGAAGAUAUGCCAGCCGUUCGGUUGGCAGAUGUCGGAGUGCCACAAGUACUGCUGUGUGGCGGCGACCGUCUUCUGCGCCGCCAUGUUGUCUGUCCCCGUCAUCCUCCUGUACGGGGACCACCCAAUAAACAAGGACAACAUCACGGGAGUCACGUGUAGCGUAGGGACGGGGAAGCACUCGGACUUAGCAGUCUACAACUACAUCAUCUUGACGUUAGAGUGCAUUCUGGUUGGAAUCAUGACCUUUCUUUACUUUCUUGUUGGUAAGAGGGUUUUCUAUAGCUUCAAAAGCAUGAAAAGCUACAGACGUAACUUUUCGAUUUCUAAAAACUCUAACGCGGCGGUUCACUGUCCGUCUGAGGACGAGAGUUUCAUCUCGAAAGAUAGUGCAGAUGAGUUUAACAAAGAGGAGAAGGUGGAAGAAGAAAAAGUUUCAACUGACAACCAAUCAAAGACCGAAAAUAAACCGGUCGUGAAAGAUGAGAGUAAACCCCCGGAGCCAGUGUCGAUUCUCGUGUGUAACGCCAGCACACAAACCAUGCCAAGACGCGGCACGAAAAAAUCUUUGAGUAUAGACACAUCUCACGAGAUGUCGAUGGAUUUGGGUGACGAAACCAGCGAGAUAUGUCCCGGGGAGAACGAGACCCCGGACUGCCCAGCGGGCGACGACGAUGGCCCGGUGUUCACUCUAGAGACUGACCAGGUGGGCCUGGGCACCUACCCGUGUACAGAGGAGCUGGAGACUGUUUACGAGGACAGUGUUCCGGAAGACGAAGUGGGUGAGAAGGUCAUAAAAAAUGGCGGACCUGAAAAACCCAGAGGGGACCAGAACCAGGAAGUGACCCGAAAACUCCGGAAGCAGAGUAGUAGUGUGUCGUUAGGAGGUCGAAGAAACCAGAGCACUUCCGCUUUGGCCAAACAACGGAACCAAAGCAUCACGUCGUUUGGCAAAUGUCGGAAUCAAAGUGCGCCAUCUUUGAGUAAACUACGACAACAAAGUGUCUCUUCUUUCAAUAAAGACCGAAAAGCAUCGAAUGUAGACUCCCGGCCCUGUACAGUAACAAGAGCAGCUGCGCGGCGCAUCGUUACACAAUCAUGUUCAUAGUCAUCUCAUUCGUUGCUAUAGUGACGUAUAUUCCGCCAUGGAUUUUUAUUAUAAUGGAGACUCAGGACCACGAGUUUUGGGGUGCGCUGACGUACGGCGAGAGUGUGACGUUUCUCAUCAUUCGCCGGAUUUACAUCAUUAAUCACGUGGUCAACCCUGUUAUAUACGGGCUCUUCGAUGGACGCUUCCGGUAUACCCUUAAACGAAUGGUAUGCCCAAAAAUGAAUACGAACGUGUAAUAUGCACGAGUUAUUUUCAUAUAAACGAAACACCUUAACUAUUUUUAUUAUUCAAUUAUUAUAUCGGAUCGACAUAUUAUUGAAAGUUUUAUAAAUUAUCUUUUCCAUGCUUUGUGUGAAUGUAGUGAAAAUGUGUUUGUUUUGAAAUACAUUUUACAUGUACAGUUUGUGUGACCUGAAUGGAAAUGCAUAUUUAUUAUUGGUAUAUAUUCUCCACUGUUUGUUAUUGUAAUGAAAUCUACAUAACAUAAG